ACCGAAAUAUUUCAAUAUUUACAAGUAUAAGCUAUCAGUCCAUGUUUACACGGCCACCAUUUUUAUUUCUUCAGCAUUAUCAGCAAUGUGAUACCCAACCUCGUCCCCAGAGUCUUCUUCGUGCAUGGCGCGUGACAUGCACGAAGAAGACCCUGGGGACGAGGUUGUGUGAUACCUUACUUCCCAUCGUCCCCUGCACGCAUAAACUAAAAGCUGGAAUUGCCUAUUGCCGUAUUGGUUUAUUAUUUUACACAGAUUCAUAUAAGUCAAAAGCGUUCUCGGCUAGCUCACUGAUCAUUCACUUUCUAAAAUUAAAAAAGGUCAUUUAUCGAAAAAUACUGGAUAAUACUAAUAGAUUACUAGGGAUAUUAUAUACAGGGUGUCUAAAAAAAACGCAAUGGAAAUUCAACAGGCUGUCGUGCAUCAUAAAC